rnacentral:rRNA from 1 species
CCUACGGGUGGCAGCAGUGAGGAAUAUUGGUCAAUGGGCGUAAGCCUGAACCAGCCAAGCCGCGUGAGUGAUGAAGGUUCUCUGGAUCGUACACCUCGUUUAUAAGGGAAUAAAGUGCGGGACGUGUCCCGGUUUGUAUGGACAUUAAGAAUAAGGAUCGGCUAACUACGUGUCAGCAGCCGCGGUAAUACGGAGGCUCCGGGCGUUAUCCGGAUUUACUGGGUUUAAAGGGUGCGUAGGCGGCCUUUCACGGCAGAGGUGAAAGGCUGUGGCGCAACUACGGAGUUGCAGUUGAAACUGGGAGUCUUGAGUAGGUGAGGGGCAGGCGGAAUGCGUGGUGUAGCGGGGAAAUGCUUAGAUAUCACGAAGAACCCCGAUUGCGAAGGCAGCCUGCCGAGCCAUGACUGACGCUGAGGCACGAAGGCGUGGGGAUCAAACAGGAUUAGAUACCCCAGUAGUC